rnacentral:tRNA from 1 species
GCGGGCAUAGCUCAAUUGGACAGAGCGUCGGACUACGGAUCCGAAGGUUGGGGGUUCGACUCCUCCUGCCCGCG